rnacentral:rRNA from 1 species
UACGGGGGAGCAAGCGUUGUUCGGAUUUACUGGGCGUAAAGGGCGCGUAGGCGGUCAGCACAAGUCAGUUGUGAAAUCUCCGGGCUUAACCCGGAAAGGUCAACUGAUACUGUGCGACUAGAGUGCGGAAGGGGCAACUGGAAUUCUCGGUGUAGCGGUGAAAUGCGUAGAUAUCGAGAGGAACACCUGCGGCGAAGGCGGGUUGCUGGGCCGACACUGACGCUGAUGCGCGAAAGCCAGGGGAGCGAACAGG